CCCUUAGAUGUUCUGGGCCGCACGCGCGCUACACUGACGGAGGCAGCGAGCAUGUCCUUCGCCGAGAGGUGUGGGGAAUCUUGUGAGUCUCCGUCGUGCUGGGGAUAGAUGGUUGCAAUUGUCGAUCUUGAACGAGGAAUUCCUAGUAAGCGCGAGUCAUCAGCUCGCGCUGAUUGCGUCCCUGCCCUUUGUACACACCGCCCGUCGCUACUACCGAUUGAAUCGUUUAGCGAGAAUUUUGGAUCGGAGCCCUGGUGGGCAGCGAUGUCCGCCUGGGAUUUACCGAGAAAUCAUUCCAGCUUGCCGAUUUAGAGGAAGUAAAAGUCGUAACA
rnacentral:rRNA from 1 species